rnacentral:misc_RNA from 1 species
UUUCCGUGGGUGAACCUGCGGAAGGAUCAUUAUUGUAUAACCGAGGUGCGAGGGCUGUCGCUGACCCGAAAGGUCGUGCACGCCCGAGUGCCCGCACACACAUCCAUCUCACCCCUAUGUGCACCACCGCGUGGGUCCCCCUUUGGCUUGUUCGGAGGGGGGCUUACGUUUUCACACAAACUUUGUAUGCAGUGUAGAAUGUAUUUUUUGUUUUUGCGAUCACGCAAUCAAUACAACUUUCAACAACGGAUCUCUUGGCUCUC